GACGUAGGGGGCGAGCGUUAUUCGGAAUUAUUGGGCGUAAAGCGCUCGUAGGCGGGACAGGAAGUCCGUGAAGAAAGACCUGGGCUCAACUCAGGGAACGGCACGGAUACUCUUGUUCUUGAGGCAAUCAGAGGGUGAUGGAAUUCCCGGUGUAGCGGUGAAAUGCGUAGAUAUCGGGAAGAACACCAAAGGCGAAAGCACUUUGCUGGGCCGAAACUGACACUGAUAGACGAAAGCUAGGGGAGCAAAUGGG
rnacentral:rRNA from 1 species